UUCAAGGUCCCUCCAUCCCCA
rnacentral:tRNA from 1 species